rnacentral:rRNA from 1 species
AUUCCAGCUCCAAUAGCGUAUAUUUAAGUUGUUGCAGUUAAAAAGCUCGUAGUUGGAUUUUGGGUCGGGGGUACCGGUCCGGUGUUUCACUGUGCACUGGUCUCCCCUUCCUUUCUGCCGGGGACGGCGUUUGCUCUUUACUGAGCGGCGUCGGAGUCGGCGUUGUUACUUUGAAAAAAUUAGAGUGUUCAAAGCAAGCCAUCGCUCUGAAUACAUUAGCAUGGAAUAACAUGAUAGGACUCCGGUCUUAUUUUGUUGGUUUCCGAGACUGGAGUAAUGAUUAAGAGGGACAGUCGGGGGCAUCCGUAUUUCAUUGUCAGAGGUGAAAUUCCUGGAUUUAUGAAAGACGAACUUCUGCGAAAGCAUUUGCCAAGGAUGUUUUCAUCA